rnacentral:rRNA from 1 species
UGGGGAAUAUUGGGCAAUGGACGCAAGUCUGACGCAGCAACGCCGCGUGAAGGAAGAAGGCCUUCGGGUUGUAAACUUCUUUAAGUGUGGAAGAUAAUGACGGUACACACAGAGUAAGCCACGGCUAACUACGUGCCAGCAGCCGCGGUAAUACGUAGGUGGCGAGCGUUGUCCGGAUUUACUGGGUGUAAAGGGCGUGUAGGCGGGUAAACAAGUCAGAUGUGAAAUACCGAGGCUCAACUUCGGGGCUGCAUUUGAAACUGUAUAUCUUGAGUGUCGGAGAGGAAAGCGGAAUUCCUAGUGUAGCGGUGAAAUGCGUAGAUAUUUGGAGGAACACCGGUGGCGAAGGCGGAUUUCUGGGCCUUUACUGACGCUAAAGUGCGAAAGCUAGGGGAGCAAACG